rnacentral:lncRNA from 1 species
AUGGGCUUGAGCAACCUUGUACAACACCCCUACAAUAACCUACAGUCUUGUACAACAUCCCACAUUCUUGUACAACACCCUAAAGUCCUGUGCAACACCCCUACAAGAACCUACAGUCUUGUACAACACCCCUACAGCACCCUAUAUAUUUCUGUACAACACCUUUACAACACCCUACAGUCCUGUACAACUCCCCUACAACACCCUACAGUCCUGUACACACCCUACAGUCCUGUACAACACCCCUACAACACCCUACAGUCCUGUACAACACCCCUACAACACCCUACAGUCCUGUACAACACCCCUACAACACCCUACAGUCCUGUACAACACCCCUACAACACCCUACAGUCCUGUAC